UAUCUGUGUAUGUGUGUGAGUAGUCUGUGUGUAUAUGUAUGUGUGUAUGCAUACACACACACACACACACACACACACACACCC
rnacentral:miRNA from 1 species